rnacentral:rRNA from 1 species
GCUCGAGCUAACUCCCAACCCAUGUGAACAUACCUACUGUUGCUUCGGCGGGAUUGCCCCGGGCGCCUCGUGUGCCCCGGAUCAGGCGCCCGCCUAGGAAACUUAACUCUUGUUUUAUUUUGGAAUCUUCUGAGUAGUUUUUACAAAUAAAUAAAAACUUUCAACAACGGAUCUCUUGGUUCUGGCAUCGAUGAAGAACGCAGCGAAAUGCGAUAAGUAAUGUGAAUUGCAGAAUUCAGUGAAUCAUCGAAUCUUUGAACGCACAUUGCGCCCGCCAGUAUUCUGGCGGGCAUGCCUGUCUGAGCGUCAUUUCAACCCUCAUGCCCCUAGGGCGUGGUGUUGGGGAUCGGCCAAAGCCCGCGAGGGACGGCCGGCCCCUAAAUCUAGUGGCGGACCCGUCGUGGCCUCCUCUGCGAAGUAGUGAUAUUCCGCAUCGGAGAGCGACGAGCCCCUGCCGUUAAACCCCCAACUUUCCAAGGUUGACCUCAGAUCAGGUAGGAAUACCCGCUGAACUUAAGCAUAUCAAUGGGGGGGAGGAUGCC